rnacentral:misc_RNA from 1 species
GGCACGCCCGAAGUCCUUACUCCAACCCUUGUGGAGGAGGAUGCCGAAGGUGGGGCUGAUGACUGGGGUGAAGUCGUAACAAGGUAGCCGUACUGGAAGGUGCGGCUGGAUCACCUCCUAACAGGGAUACAAUAACUAAUUGUGAUGUCUGAGUAAUUUAUUCUCAGGCCAUGAUUCUGUCAUCUCUAAGGUCGAUCGGUGCCUCAAUUUGAGAAUUCAAGAAGAACUGAGAAAUCAGUUUGGAGAUGAAGGUCUUAAUUUCAGUUCCUAAACUUUGUCUAGGUCACCCCACAGCGGGUAAAGCCGAGAACACAUUUAAUUUAUUUAUUUGUGUUUGAUCUGGCAAGUCGAAAGGCGAGCUAGGUUGCGGCGAGAGCUCCUGGGCCAUUAGCUCAGGUGGUUAGA